rnacentral:tRNA from 1 species
UAGCAUAGUGGUUAAGUGCUGUGGCUGCUAACCAAAAGGUUGGCAGUUCAAAUCUGCC